rnacentral:rRNA from 1 species
CGGCAGUAGCGGCGAGCGAACCCGGAGGAGCCUAGCUUUUGAUAGUACGAACUUUAGCCGAAAGGUCCUGGAAAGGCCUGCUAUAGUGGGUGAUAGCCCCGUAGGCGAAAGAGUUCGUAUGGUACUAAGGAAGCGAGAAGUAGAGCGGGACACGUGGAAUCCUGUUCGAAGAUGGGGGGACCAUCCUCCAAGGCUAAAUACUCGUGAUCGACCGAUAGUGAACCAGUACCGUGAGGGAAAGGCGAAAAGAACCCCGGGAGGGGAGUGAAAUAGAACCUGAAACCGCAUGCAUACAAACAGUAGGAGCCUCACCAGAGGUGACUGCGUACCUUUUGCAUAAUGGGUCAGCGACUUACAUUCUGUGGCGAGCUUAACCGAAUAGGGGAGGCGCAGCGAAAGCGAGUUCGAAAUGAGCGUCCAGUCGCAGGGUGUAGACCCGAAACCAGAUGAGCUAUCCAUGGCCAGGUUGAAGGUGUGGUAACACACACUGGAGGACCGAACCGACUAGUGUUGCAAAAUUAGCGGAUGAGCUGUGGAUAGGGGUGAAAGGCCAAACAAAUCUGGAGAUAGCUGGUUCUCCCCGAAAACUAUUGAGGUAGUGCCUCGUGUGUCGCUCCAGGGGGUAGAGCACUGUUUUGGCUAGGGGGACAUGGAGUCUUACCAAACCAAGGCAAACUCCGAAUACCUGGAAGCGUAAGCACGGGAGACAGAGCACCGGGUGCUAACGUCCGGACUCAAAAGGGAAACAACCCAGACCGCCGGCUAAGGUCCCCAAUAACAGCUAAGUGGAAAACGAAGUGGAAAGGCCGUGACAACCAGGAAGUUGGCUUAGAAGCAGCCAUCCUUCAAAGAAAGCGUAAUAGCUCACUGGUCGAGUCCUUCUGCGCGGAAGAUGUAACGGGGCUAAGCUGUUAACCGAAGCCGCGGAUGCACUGAUUAUUCAGUGCGUGGUAGGGGAGCGUUCUGUAAGUCUGCGAAGGCGGUUCGAGAGGACUGCUGGAGAUAUCAGAAGUGCGAAUGCUGACAUGAGUAACGUUAAAGCAGGUGAAAAGCCUGCUCGCCGUAAGCCCAAGGAUUCCUGCUCUACGUUCAUCGGAGCAGGGUGAGUCGGCUCCUAAGGUCAGGCCGAAAGGCGUAGCCGAUGGGAAUCAGGUUAAUAUUCCUGAACCUGCGUCAGAUGCGAUGGGGGGACGGAGCAUGAAAGAUCAUCCGGGUGUUGGAUGUCCCGGUUGACGAGCGUAGGAGGUCUGCAGGCAAAUCCGCAGACGCAUCUCCAAGGCGAAGUCACGUGCCGCCACGGCGGCGAAGUGAUCGGAAGUGCUUCCAAGAAAAGCCUCUAAGCACCAGUCUGACGCGGACCGUACCGCAAACCGACACUGGUGGGCGAGCUGAAUAUGCUCAGGCGCUUGAGAGAACUCGGGAGAAGGAACUCGGCAAAUUGACACCGUAACUUCGGAAGAAGGUGUGCCGUAGUAGCGUGAGAGGAGAGACACCUUGAGCGUGAAUCGGUCUCAGAGAAUAGGUGGCUGCGACUGUUUAUUAAAAACACAGCACUCUGCAAAGUCGAAAGACGACGUAUAGGGUGUGAUGCCUGCCCGGUGCUGGAAGAUUAAUUGAUGGGGUGAGAGCCCUUGAUCGAAGUCCCAGUAAACGGCGGCCGUAACUAUAACGGUCCUAAGGUAGCGAAAUUCCUUGUC